rnacentral:rRNA from 1 species
GAUAAACGCUGGCGGCGUGCCUAAUACAUGCAAGUCGAGCGAACGGACGAGAAGCUUGCUUCUCUGAUGUUAGCGGCGGACGGGUGAGUAACACGUGGAUAACCUACCUAUAAGACUGGGAUAACUUCGGGAAACCGGAGCUAAUACCGGAUAAUAUUUUGAACCGCAUGGUUCAAAAGUGAAAGACGGUCUUGCUGUCACUUAUAGAUGGAUCCGCGCUGCAUUAGCUAGUUGGUAAGGUAACGGCUUACCAAGGCAACGAUGCAUAGCCGACCUGAGAGGGUGAUCGGCCACACUGGAACUGAGACACGGUCCAGACUCCUACGGGAGGCAGCAGUAGGGAAUCUUCCGCAAUGGGCGAAAGCCUGACGGAGCAACGCCGCGUGAGUGAUGAAGGUCUUCGGAUCGUAAAACUCUGUUAUUGGGGAAGAACAUAUGUGUAAGUAACUGUGCACAUCUUGACGGUACCUAAUCAGAAAGCCACGGCUAACUACGUGCCAGCAGCCGCGGUAAUACGUAGGUGGCAAGCGUUAUCCGGAAUUAUUGGGCGUAAAGCGCGCGUAGGCGGUUUUUUAAGUCUGAUGUGAAAGCCCACGGCUCAACCGUGGAGGGUCAUUGGAAACUGGAAAACUUGAGUGCAGAAGAGGAAAGUGGAAUUCCAUGUGUAGCGGUGAAAUGCGCAGAGAUAUGGAGGAACACCAGUGGCGAAGGCGACUUUCUGGUCUGUAACUGACGCUGAUGUGCGAAAGCGUGGGGAUCAAACAGGAUUAGAUACCCUGGUAGUCCACGCCGUAAACGAUGAGUGCUGAGUGUUAGGGGGUUUCCGCCCCUUAGUGCUGCAGCUAACGCAUUAAGCACUCCGCCUGGGGAGUACGACCGCAAGGUUGAAACUCAAAGGAAUUGACGGGGACCCGCACAAGCGGUGGAGCAUGUGGUUUAAUUCGAAGCAACGCGAAGAACCUUACCAAAUCUUGACAUCCUUUGACAACUCUAGAGAUAGAGCCUUCCCCUUCGGGGGACAAAGUGACAGGUGGUGCAUGGUUGUCGUCAGCUCGUGUCGUGAGAUGUUGGGUUAAGUCCCGCAACGAGCGCAACCCUUAAGCUUAGUUGCCAUCAUUAAGUUGGGCACUCUAAGUUGACUGCCGGUGACAAACCGGAGGAAGGUGGGGAUGACGUCAAAUCAUCAUGCCCCUUAUGAUUUGGGCUACACACGUGCUACAAUGGACAAUACAAAGGGCAGCGAAACCGCGAGGUCAAGCAAAUCCCAUAAAGUUGUUCUCAGUUCGGAUUGUAGUCUGCAACUCGACUACAUGAAGCUGGAAUCGCUAGUAAUCGUAGAUCAGCAUGCUACGGUGAAUACGUUCCCGGGUCU